CAGCAGCCGCGGGAAUACGGAGGGUGCAAGCGUUACUCGGAAUCACUGGGCGUAAAGGACGCGUAGGCGGAUUAUCAAGUCUCUUGUGAAAUCUAACGGCUUAACCGUUAAACUGCUUGGGAAACUGAUAAUCUAGAGUAAGGGAGAGGCAGAUGGAAUUCUUGGUGUAGGGGUAAAAUCCGUAGAUAUCAAGAAGAAUACCUAUUGCGAAGGCGAUCUGCUGGAACUUAACUGACGCUAAUGCGUGAAAGCGUGGGGAGCAAACAGGAUUAGAUACCCCGGUAGUCCCUGUCUCUUAUAC
rnacentral:rRNA from 1 species